rnacentral:lncRNA from 1 species
UGGCUUUCAAAGACUUUAUUGUUGAAUGGACGACUUCACUACAAUUUCUUUCCCUUCCUGAGGGCCUGUGGAGCCACUGCCUCCCCUCCCCAGUCCCAGAGCCUUUGGAGAGUGCAGGCACUGAGGGGGACAGUGCAGCAGUGGUGGACGAUCAAGCUUUACAAAGACAUCCCCAUCGUGAAUUCCAGCAAAAAGCCAGCCGGAGUGGUGCAAUCUUUCCGUUUGUGAAAUGAACAGGACAGUUCUCUAGGACACAGCUUUCUCCUCCAUCUCUGCUGGCUUUCUCUGCACAGCACCAGCUACAUGGAAGACAAUCUGGGGCAAAAUUUUCAAAGCAUUCACAUCUUUCCAACAAAGAACGCAGGCACUUAGUCCCGUGUCCACAGAGGCAGCGAGGCUCUUCAGUCACCUCCUGUUCAAAGGGACACCAGACACCUUGAAGCCAUUGUGGACCUGAGCCUUAAAUGCUUAAUCUCAUACAUCAGUUGAUGGGAAUGUGGAGUCCUAGGCACUUCUGUGCUUCUGAAAAUUUUACCUCAGUUAAUCCUGGCCAGGGAAACCAAAGCCCUGAAGUUCCUAAAAUCUUAAUUAAGGCAGAGUUCAAAAUGGGUCUGUCCCACUUCUUCCCUAAAGUAUGGUUUCUAGGGUAAAAACCUAUCAUUGCAUUUGGAAGCAUUGAAAAACUUCAUUUCAAGUGGUUCUGAAAUCCUAACAUCCUCAUGGCAGUGAUGGUGUUAACAUUUGCCCAUUGAGCAGCGAGCAGGGAGAGACUUGGCCCUGACCAGUAACAUGGAUUACAGCAAAACCUCGUAAAGUACAGUCACAGCAAGGAAAGAAGGUCCCUGCAGCACAGAUUUGCCAGUCUGACUAAUCAAAACAGGCAUUCAAGGCAGAAGAGAAUUCUCAUUUUAGCAAAAAGACUAACCAGCUCUCCAGUCUUGGAUUCAGUCUGUAUUUAGAAAAAAGUAAAGAAAAAAUGAUGGACAGAACUGUCCUAAUUUCACACAUUGUACUCCAGAGGUUCAAGAGAAACACUUCCUCCCCCCUCCCCCCCUUUUUUUUUUCCCUAAUGUGUAUCUCUGGAUGAAAUUCAGCACCCUUGCAUUAGCGAAGGCAGCAGGUGAAACAGCUACCUUUAGAGAGCUUGAUUCCGGGACCUGCGUGCAGACCUCUUUGCUCCUAUUUAGGUUAGUAGGAAUCAAGAGUGCUGAGCAGGAAGAAGCAGCCUCAGCUCUACUGUGUUACUACUUGACAGUACAAUAAAGAUAAGUUAUUUUAAAGAUAAGAUACAUCGCAGCAUGAGAAUUCACUGCAACAUACUCUGCUGUUGAAUCACUGCCAAGAAGCAUAACUCCACCGAGUUUUGCGCUACUUCACUGACACCAGCUAUGAACCCUAAUUCCUUCUAGGAACCUAGUAAAACAUUCAAGAGCUGCCUGCUGAAAUGCAUCCUUAACAUAUAAAGGUCACAGGUGUGUAACUGAAGUGGAGCAGAGAUUCCCACUGGGUGAUCCCUACCAAAACCAUCAAGUGUGGCCCCAAAUGUGCUCAGAGCAGGGCUGACACGUGGCAAGCAAGGUGCAUUUUUAAAGAGUUACAGAGUAAGACCCAACUUCCUGUCCAAAUAACACUUCUUAAAAUAAACUGGCCCCAAAUUAUCCUCCAAUCUUUUAAGAUAGCUCAAUAUUUCUA